rnacentral:misc_RNA from 1 species
UGUGCUAAGCGAGAUUGGCGGAUCGCUCAACGCUCAACGAGCCCCUCGUUGCACGCUAUGGCCUUGCACGCAGUGACCUGAUUACACACAUCUCACUCGCGCUGAAUCGGCUUUCCCCGUCGGGUGCCCACGACUGCCCCCUGUGCCCCCCUCCCAGGAAGACAGGCUCUGAGCUCUUUGUGCGCACGCGCUGUCAAGCACCGCCGGCACGGCGCCUCGCAUCCGAAGAAAGCAUGCAGAGGCGCGAAGAGACGCAUGCGAGCGAGCCGCCGUGUGCAUGUGCGCGGAUCAUGCGGGACGUCCCCCACCCGGCCGUGUGGGCUGCUGAGGCACAGAUGCCCGGGGGGGGCAUGACGCGAGCACCCCGAAUGGCAGCAUCGGGUCGUCCGGGCACCCAUGUGGCGAGUCUCCACACCGUACUAUGGCAUGCCGCUGCUUGAGGCGACGGAGGGCGCGAGGGAGGGCACACAGGCGGAGCACAGGGCCUCCAGGGGGCCCUGGCCUGCGGCUGGCCAACUGAUUCCGUGAGCCCGUGCGGCAUGCACCUGGGCCACCACCACCCCUCUACUACGCGCACGGCGGACGCCGGUGCCUCCGCCCUUGAGCAGGGCCCUGGACGCUGCCCGCGUUGGGGCCAGGCGCGCAGUGCACCCAGGUCGGUCUGGUGCCGGUGGCGCAGCACGCGUGCGAGGGAGGCGCGAGGAAAGACAAGAGACCGUGAGACGCAUGUCCCCGCUUCGGCGGCAGCCGUCUCGCCCUAGAGGGCCAAGAUCCCGCCGUGGUGCAGCGGAGGCGUCUGCGUUGUGAUGGCGUGUAUGCGUGCAUAUCUGUCGACCUGCUCGGUGUGCAGUGCGGUGCGUCGAACGAAAGAAUCUCCCUCGGUGGCGUCGCCGUGUGGGCUUGCUGCGGAAGUGUCUUUCUGGAUAGCGACCGGAUGUGCUCCCUCAAAAACCUAGCCGGGAAGUCGCGGAGGUGAUGGAAGUGAUGAACACAAACAUGGUGGCACCGUGGAUGCGAAAGGAUGUGUGUGGAAAGGGCGGAUGCGUCGCGACCUUUUCAGACAACUGGGGCGUACUUUGUUGAUGGGUUUCGUCGUAACCCCCCCCCCGAAAAGCCUAGGGUUGCCAUGGUCCGUGUGGGUCUGUGUGCACGCUUUCGUUUCAAUGGGCAGUCUGAACGGAGACGCAUACGCACGCAUUCACCAGCAGACAUCAUUCUGGUGAGGUUUCAUGGGUACAGGUGGCGUUCUUGUUACACUUCUACAGCAUCUCUGUAAUGUCUUCACCGGCCCCAGGGUGUCCUGUCGGAACGGGGGGACUCAAGGACCGGUGUCUUGCCCCAACUUGUGUCCUAGGCCCUGUUUCGCUUGUAUUUCUAUCGUUCAUAUGGUGAUGGCGUCAUCGAUCGCGUCUUCAGGCUAGCUGUGCCUUGUGUGUAAGUGUGUGUGUGUAUGUUGUUUCGUUUUGUUUCUUCGGUGGCCUUUCCGUGGGCGCUUUUCGUGUGUACACCUCUUCUCUCUCCAGCGAUCUCUGCAGGCUUCUUGUAUUGGAUGUUGAUGCUCGAUGGUGCGUUUCUCCGUAACGAGAGAGAGAGGUAGAGACACGAGCCAGGAUGCGUGGAAGUGAUUAGGAUCGUCACAAGGAGAGGAGUGGUGGCGGCCGAAACGAUCGUGGGCCAUGCUUACUACGGCGCAGCAAGUG